GGCGGCGGCGGCGGCGGGGGCAGCGCGGAGCGGCGGGGGCAGGUGGGCCCCGCCGCCGCCGCCGCGCCGCCACCCUCCAGGAGCAGGUGAGCCACUGACUAACGCACAUUGUGCUCUCGGCGACCCCACUGUGCGUGUGACAGCGGCUAACCUGCUCCUCGGGCACCGCUGGGCGGCCGCCUCGCCUCGCCGGCACGACGCCUCGCACCCGCGGCGGGGCUGCGGCGCGAUGAGGAGAUGCCGCCCGCCCGCCCGUCCCACCUGCAGCUUCCCAUCGCCAGCGACUGACCACCACCAGCCUCAGCUCCGCCCGUCCCACCAAGUGAGUGACUUCCCAUCACCGGCCGCGCCAAGCCUCGCUGCCCUCCGUCUGUCCAUCCGUCCCACCAGCGAGUGACUUCCCAGCGCUUGCAGUGGCAGAGCCGGGCGGAGCGGAGCAGGGGAGCAGGCAGCCGAGGCAAAGAGUCGGUGGUGAAGUUGCACGGGCUGGAGCGGCCGGGUGAAGGAGAGAUGUGGUUUCCCUCUCCCCACCCCCCCCCCCCCCCGCCCCUGCUCGUCUCCAAAGUAAAUACGUAUUAAUGGACGCUGUACCAAGUUAAAGAGGAGCUUUAUCCCAGCCGGUGACGUCUUGAUACCCAGUCAGUGACUAACUGAACUGCUAUUGCCAAGGGUGUGUUAAUAGAAGAAACCAUGCCUGGUAUUGCCCUGGAUGAGUCACCUUUAAAGAGAGACUCUGUAAUCUGUUAAAUGAGAAGCAGAAACGAGCCUUGCUUUCCUUUUUUGCUGUUGCUUGCUUCCCAUCCCACCCCUCACCUUUGCUCCCUCCUUUCUGCUUCUAGCACCGGGGCUGUUUUGGUCCCGGCCGGGCUGCCCUGCACGCUCACGCUGUGAUAUCACGCAGGGGACUCAGACUUCAUGGCCUGAGGAGCAGGAAGGCGAACGGGCAGGGACUCCUCCAGCUGUGCAGGGCAGCUGUCACUCGAAAUCGAGGAAGUGACGAGGCAAAUUGCUUCUUGAGCAAAGUUUUCUCUUUCGAUUUUGAGCCCAUCAAAGGAGCUGGGUAGUUGAAAAGUGUCUUUUUAGAGCAUGGCACAGCUUUAUCUCCUGCUUAAGCUAAUAAUAACCAGAUAGGAUUCACUGCAGCCCUCCCAGAUUUCCUGAAAGGGUUUUCUGAAAGGUAGCCUCUCUUGCUUGGGCUGCUGACAUGUAACCCUGGACUGUUGUACAGGCAUAAUCUCCUGAAGGAAUCAGCAGCGCUCUGCUCAGUAAGUACUUAACCAUACAGAAAAGCAGAGCGACAUCCUUUCUACAGAGCAAGUCUCUUACAAAGAAAUUGUGCCUGUCCCCAUCUCCCCUGCCUGUGCUCGUUUGACAUUUCUCCUGUCAGGUCCCAGAGGAGCAUCUGCUCUUCAGAAAGGAAAAUCAGUUCCUUACGUGCCUCGUGCUGAUUAGGUGAGUCAAGGCACACCAGAAAGAGAGGAAAACUGCCUGAAUUUACCAAAGCUUUCACACUUGUUCAGUAGCCAAACGGGUCUUGUCUGAUGGGGGGGGGAACAAAUUUCUCAGCUUUCCCAGCCCCAGACAGCUUUCCUCUUCCCCAGCUGCACUUCCAGCUGCAGAUCUGCAGCUCUCUGAGCAGGCAGGAGCACCGGUGUGGCCAUGUAGAGAUCAGGGUGGGGGGAAACGUGCAAGAUACCAGUACCUGCAUAUGGCUGUCUGUGUCCUGACAGCGUAUCCGCACAUUGAAACUGAAGUCUGGCAAUGCUGUACCACCUUAUUUCACAGGUAACAAAUCUGUACCCAAAAACGAAGGCGCUCUGCUUCUCUUUGAAGAAAUAGCCCCGCGCUGCCCGAUGACUAACUGCUGGAGACCCCACCGGCAGAAAUGGCUCUGCAGGUUGCCCGGUUGCUCUGGCAAGGUUUGUCCCAGUUCCCAUCAGGCAGCACUCGGUAUGAAAACUUGCAGCUUCCCGCUACCUACGAGACCAUCCUGUUCAGCUCCAGUAAGCAAAGGCAAGGGAUUGAAAUGAGCACUUCGCAGAGGGAAGCGAGCAGGUGUAACCUGUCGUGCGCUGGGCUAGGAAGCACCUAGUGUGUUCUGUCAAUAGCGUGCCGGUGGCAAAUCAAAGCUGUGAGUCUCCGAGGGAGCAAGCUGGCCUGUCAGGAAAAGAAGGGCUACAUGAAUUGUUUAAGAGGACGUCGGUUAGUUACAUGGCAAGGUAGAAUGUGCUCGGUCUUUACUGUGAGACACAAAAAGGAAAACCAUCACUGUGAGAACAGACAAUGCUCUGCGUGGACAGACGCGCACACGUGCCAGUUCAGAUAGUUUCUCUUCUCUGGCUUCAGUGAGCUG